rnacentral:sRNA from 1 species
GCCAGGCUCCGUGGUGCAUGCCUGUAAUCCCAGCAGCUCAGGAGGCUGAGGCAGGAGGAUGGCGAGUUCAAAGCCAGCAAGGCUGAUAAGCAAUCAGUGAGACCCUGUCUCUA